rnacentral:tRNA from 1 species
AACAACGUAGCUUAAGUCAGAGCAUUUUUUUUGUUCAACAAAAAAAAAGAUAUUGGUUCAAAUCCAAUCGUUGUUU